GGAAGAGGAAGGGGAGGGGGGGUGGGGGAGGGGGGGAAGCCCUGCUAGAAGGGGGGGGGGGGGGGAGGGGCGGUGUGGACCCCUGAGCCCCCCCGGCACACCUCCUCCGUGUGACGUGUGCGGUGACGCGACCAAUGACACGCGUGACGCUGUCGGGGGGUGGGGGGGUCGUCCUCCCAGCAGCCCCCGCGGGCGGCAGCGCCGAGGGGCCCCACCCCCACCCCGCUCCUGCGACCCCCCACUCGCACCCCAUCCCCCCGACUGACCCCUGACCCCUGACCCCGAGGUGGGGGGGGCGGCGCCGCCGACCAGGACAAUGGAGGACGAGUCCCCGUCGGUCCCCGAGUUCCUGGAGGACGGUGACAGCAACGGGCCCUUCCCGCUGGAGGACCCCGAGGCCACCAGGGCCACCACGCUGUCCCCAAGGGGACGUCCCACCGCCCAGGGUCUCCCUCACCCCAAAACCAGCGCCCCAGCGCCUGCCCCACCCCCCACCCCCCCACCCCCCGCCGCGGCCGCGUCCCCACGGGCG